AAAAAUAUUAGAUUACGAGAUUGAAAUAUAAUUGCCAUUCCUCUCGUUCCUCAGCUGAAAAUGCAAAACUAUGAUUGGAAAAUACACACCAAAAAUCCAUCAGCUACAGAAAAUUUUCAAAAUGCAUUUAUAAGAAGAUGACAGAAGAAAUCAAUAAAUAAAAUGACCUAAUAAACCACCGAUAAGUGGCAUUGUUCCGCAAAGCACUUAACCCAAGAAUCUCUCCAAUUCCUAUAGAGUGGAUUAAAAGAAAAUAAUCAUGAUUCACAUCCGCAAAUACAAAUGAGACAGGGAUGCAUGACCUCAUUUUCUUUCUGGGCCCUUGACACUUUUAACCAGAGACUAAAAUGGAGAAGAGCUAAAAAGAAUUGUCCCAUUUGAACUAACAAGAAACAAAUCAUAUCAUAAACAACUAUUAUACCCACAGACAGAUCUAGCUACCAACAUCUCAUGAAACCAUUACCCGUGCUAUCAUCCCCUGGGUCCAAUUUGCAGUCUCCUUGAGCUGUUCAUCAUCAGAUUGAAGACACUCACCAAGAAAAUCAACAUAGAAUGUGUUGUCUCGAAACAAAAUCUUUGUGUUGGAACCAAGUGCGUCUGCCAGAUCACCCAUCACUGCAACUGCAGCUUUUGUCACACUCUCGUCCCUUUGACGCUCUCUGAAAACCAAUUCUAUAAACUGCAAAAGAUGUCCAGCGUGUGGAAGCAUCACCUCCGGUUUGGAAUUUUUGAAUCCCUGAAGAAUACCAGAAUAAGCUUCAAAGAUGCUACACUUGAGCUGGUUACCAUAGUCAAUAAACUCCUCAUCACUGGUAUUCAUCUGGGCACAGAUCUGAGCAGCACUCUGCAUCAUUGUUAUUGCAGAUUCAAUGUACUUCAAGAAUUGCUCCCCUAUCGCAAGAGCAAUGUCCCCAAAACAAGAGAAUAUGGGAGGCUUGACAGACCGGUGAAGUUCAGCACUUUGGAGAUCAUGGAUAAGGUGGCUCAUGAUCCCAUCACAGUAAGGUAAAACCUUGUCAUCCAUUGCACGGCAAAUGUCACCAAACACCCCAGUUGUUAUGGCACAAACCUGAUACUCCUCAAAAUUCUGCAAUCCCAUCUCCAGAUACUUGUAUAACUCAGGCAUGUACUUGCCAAACUCUGGCCCAGAGGCAUAAGCCAGAGCACCAAUUGCAAGCAUUGCUUCCUCAUGCACGGUAGAGCUCCGGCAAGCCAACACUCUGAGGAAUAGAAUCAUAAUUGGAUCUGAAGCCUGGAGUAUAAUGGGCUUGGUCUCAUCAGUACUGCCAAGUUUCUGGAUGAUGACUUGUAGAACACCACAAAGGGAAGCCUGUAAAUCUCCUUGCUUCUCUCUGUCAUCUGAAGAUAAAAUCUGAAGAUCUAGAGUCUGCCCUAACUUGUUCAUGAUGACUGGGAGCAGCUCAGAAAUAAUAUGAGAAGUUUCCACAAUACUGGAAGACCUGAUAACCUCAUUCAAGGUUUCAUAUGCAGAAGACCUAAGCUUUGAGUCGCCGCCAUCUGUACGCUCAGCAGUUUUAAGAAGUUGAGAGAUUAUGCCAGGAAGGCAAGGAGUGAGGAGAGAGGAGCUACUUCCUGCAUCCUCAUAUCCCUGAGCAAGGUAAUAGAUUGCCCCACAAACCUUCUCAGCUACAUGUGGAGCAUCAUUGAUACUUUCCAGUAAAACUGCCACAACCCGGAGGAGGUUCUCAGGGGAAAUCACAGAAAAUCCAUUGGCGGGACUGUGCAACAACUCAAAUACACGACUGAGAGUCCAUGCAGUUGUGUCCUUCACAUGUUUAUUUCCAUCCCUCAUAGCAUUAAGCAGAAAAUCCAAGCCAGCAUUAACUAGUGGGGUAAGCUUAUCAAUACUAGGGCCUUCAAGAAUUGAGCCAAAUGCAAAUGUAGCUGCUUCACGACAAUGCCAAUCUGGCUUUACUAUGUUAGCCUCCACAAAAGGCAUUACAAGGGGCACAACAUCAUCCCCAACAGUUCUAGCAACAAGACCAAGACAUGUCCCCCCGGCCAUGGAUAGAUUCCAGAUGCUAUCAUCCUGAUCUUGAUCCUCUUCCUGCUUCAAUAAUGUUUCCAGCAACAUAGGAACAAGAGAUGGAAGGGCCUUCUUUAUGAAAUGACAAUGCACAUGCUCAAAAUGCCCACCUUCAUGACUAUCAUAUUCUUGACGCUCUAUCUCUUCAUCACAGAUGGAGCUCCAGAAUUCAAUUGCUUGGAGGGCAACUGUCUCUUCAUCUCCUUUUACCGCAUUUGAUGUAAGUUGAAAGAGGGUCUGCAUAUAAGGUUCAAGCACAGCAUAGUAUGUUGACGCUAUUGAAACAAGACACUCAAAAGCACCCUGUCUAACCUCUGCCUCUUUGGACAAGGCUGUCUCACAGACCACCUUCAUUAUGUAAUUUCGCUCCAUUUCAUUUUCAAAGUUGGUCUGUGCAAAAAUCAAGGCAUCAUAUAAAGCCCUUGUUGCUGCAAGGCGGAUUUCAGGACCAUGCUGUAUAAGGGUCAUGCCUUGGACAACUGCAGUCAGAAUAGCAUUUACUUCGUCUUGCACAAGGUCCUGAUCAGAUAUCCCCUCACAAACAUAACCAAGAGUUUCCAGGGUUGCCUGUUUUAAUGCUGCAGGACCAUCUUGCUGGGUCAUAUUGUUAAGCAAUGAUCCAAUUAGCUCAGGCCAUUGCUUCUGGGGAAUCUCAAUGGAAGCAACCUUGGCAAUUACUUGGGCAGAUGUAUUUCUAGCCUCCUGUACAGAUGAACCAAGUGUUCUCAAUAGCAAGUCUUUGAUUUGAGAUUUAAUAGAAAUUUCAAUUGCCAUCCAUUGUUGGACAAGAUGUUCCUUUCUCGUGGCAUCUUUUGCAUCCAAAGAGUUCUUAAGCACAAUGCCAGCCAACCGACGAGAUUCAUUAGGUUUCUCAUUAUUUGCAAGUUCAAUUGAUAAAGAUAAAAGGAAAAGAGGCAAAUUCUGCUCUUGGAACUGCCUAAGAUUAGCCUCUGCCUCAUUUCGGACUUUUGCAUCCAAUGACUGGGCAGACAACAAAAUUGCAGUGAUCUCCAAAGCCAUUUCUUUCAACACUCUAGCAAUAGGAACCUGAUAAAACCCCACUGAAGAUAAACCUAGGGUUUCUCUCUCUCUCUUUAUCUCCUCUCCCGCGCCCUCUCACUGUACUAUUGUCGAACGAAACGAAGCGAAGAUGAAGAGAGAGAUUGGUGACUGUCUGGAGCGUAGGUUGUGGGCUUCUCGUAUGAGUAUGAUAGGGAAGCUGCGUGUUCUGGUUUGUAGGUGUGUAGAUGAGAGCUGAGAUUUGGAUGGAUGGGUAGGAAAUGAAGCUCCUUGCGGGUUGAUUGAAGAUGUACGAAAUGGCCGGAGUGAAUUUUUGAGAGUGGCGGGUGUGAUAGUGCUGCG
rnacentral:misc_RNA from 1 species